rnacentral:rRNA from 1 species
CCUACGGGAGGCAGCAGUGAGGAAUAUUGGUCAAUGGCCGGAAGGCUGAACCAGCCAAGCCGCGUGAAGGACGACGGUGCCAAGCAUUGUAAACUUCUUUUGUCAAGGGACAAAAUCAGGCUCGAGAGCCUGACUGUGGGUACUUGAAGAAAAAGCAUCGGCUAACUCCGUGCCAGCAGCCGCGGUAAUACGGAGGAUGCGAGCGUUAUCCGGAUUUAUUGGGUUUAAAGGGUGCGUAGGUGGACUGUUAAGUCAGUUGUGAAAGGUCGGGGCUCAACCGCGGGAUGGAGGUUGAAACGGGCAUGCGUGAGGACAGGAGAGGAGGGGGGAAGUGGAGGUGGAGCGUUGAAAUGCUUAGAUA